rnacentral:rRNA from 1 species
CCUAAUCAUGCAACCUCGAGCGAACAGAAGGGAGCUUGCUCCCGGAUGUUAGCGGCGGACGGGUGAGUAACACGUGGGUAACCUGCCUGUAAGACUGGGAUAACUCCGGGAAACCGGAGCUAAUACCGGAUAGUUCCUUGAACCGCAUGGUUCAAGGAUGAAAGACGGUUUCGGCUGUCACUUACAGAUGGACCCGCGGCGCAUUAGCUAGUUGGUGGGGUAAUGGCUCACCAAGGCGACGAUGCGUAGCCGACCUGAGAGGGUGAUCGGCCACACUGGGACUGAGACACGGCCCAGACUCCUACGGGAGGCAGCAGUAGGGAAUCUUCCGCAAUGGACGAAAGUCUGACGGAGCAACGCCGCGUGAGUGAUGAAGGUUUUCGGAUCGUAAAGCUCUGUUGUUAGGGAAGAACAAGUGCGAGAGUAACUGCUCGCACCUUGACGGUACCUAACCAGAAAGCCACGGCUAACUACGUGCCAGCAGCCGCGGUAAUACGUAGGUGGCAAGCGUUGUCCGGAAUUAUUGGGCGUAAAGGGCUCGCAGGCGGUUUCUUAAGUCUGAUG